GGGUUGUGAGGUUAAGCGACUAAGCGUACACGGUGGAUGCCCUGGCAGUCAGAGGCGAUGAAGGGCGUGCUAAUCUGCGAUAAGCGCCGGUAAGGUGAUAUGAACCGUUAUAACCGGCGAUACCCGAAUGGGGAAACCCAGUGUGAUUCGUCACACUAUCAUUAACUGAAUCCAUAGGUUAAUGAGGCGAACCGGGGGAACUGAAACAUCUAAGUACCCCGAGGAAAAGAAAUCAACCGAGAUUCCCCAGUAGCGGCGAGCGAACGGGGAGGAGCCCAGAGCCUGAAUCAGCAUGUGUGUUAGUGGAAGCGUCUGGAAAGGCGCGCGAUACAGGGUGACAGCCCCGUACACAAAAGCGCAUGUGCUGUGAGCUCGAUGAGUAGGGCGGGACACGUGGUAUCCUGUCUGAAUAUGGGGGACCAUCCUCCAAGGCUAAAUACUCCUGACUGACCGAUAGUGAACCAGUACCGUGAGGGAAAGGCGAAAAGAACCCCGGCGAGGGGAGUGAAAAAGAACCUGAAACCGUGUACGUACAAGCAGUGGGAGCACAGGUUUACCUGUGUGACUGCGUACCUUUUGUAUAAUGGGUCAGCGACUUAUAUUCUGUAGCAAGGUUAACCGAAUAGGGGAGCCGGAGGGAAACCGAGUCUUAAUUGGGCGUUAAGUUGCAGGGUAUAGACCCGAAACCCGGUGAUCUAGCCAUGGGCAGGUUGAAGGUUGGGUAACACUAACUGGAGGACCGAACCGACUAAUGUUGAAAAAUUAGCGGAUGACCUGUGGCUGGGGGUGAAAGGCCAAUCAAACCGGGAGAUAGCUGGUUCUCCCCGAAAGCUAUUUAGGUAGCGCCUCGUGAACUCAUCUCCGGGGUAGAGCACUGUUUCGGCUAGGGGGCCAUCCCGGCUUACCAACCCGAUGCAAACUGCGAAUACCGGAGAAUGUUAUUACGGGAGACACACGGCGGGUGCUAACGUCCGUCGUGAAGAGGGAAACAACCCAGACCGCCAGCUAAGGUCCCAAAGUCAUGGUUAAGUGGGAAACGAUGUGGGAAGGCCCAGACAGCCAGGAUGUUGGCUUAGAAGCAGCCAUCAUUUAAAGAAAGCGUAAUAGCUCACUGGUCGAGUCGGCCUGCGCGGAAGAUGUAACGGGGCUAAACCAUGCACCGAAGCUGCGGCAGCGAACGUAUCACUUAAAGCGAUUCAGCGGGUUACGAUUGACGGAGCGAAGCGACGUCAAAGCGUAUACAAAGUCGAGUCGGUUUAAGGAUACGUUCGUUGGGUAGGGGAGCGUUCUGUAAGCCUGUGAAGGUGGCCUGUGAGGGUUGCUGGAGGUAUCAGAAGUGCGAAUGCUGACAUAAGUAACGAUAAAGCGGGUGAAAAGCCCGCUCGCCGGAAGACCAAGGGUUCCUGUCCAACGUUAAUCGGGGCAGGGUGAGUCGACCCCUAAGGCGAGGCCGAAAGGCGUAGUCGAUGGGAAACGGGUUAAUAUUCCCGUACUUGGUGUUACUGCGAAGGGGGACGGAGAAGGCUAUGUUGGCCGGGCGACGGUUGUCCCGGUUUAAGCGUGUAGGUGUGUGUUCCAGGUAAAUCCGGUUCACUUUAACACUGAGGCGUGACGACGAGGCACUACGGUGCUGAAGCAACAAAUGCCCUGCUUCCAGGAAAAGCCUCUAAGCAUCAGGUAACAUCAAAUCGUACCCCAAACCGACACAGGUGGUCAGGUAGAGAAUACCAAGGCGCUUGAGAGAACUCGGGUGAAGGAACUAGGCAAAAUGGUGCCGUAACUUCGGGAGAAGGCACGCUGACAUGUAGGUGAAGUGAUUUACUCAUGGAGCUGAAGUCAGUCGAAGAUACCAGCUGGCUGCAACUGUUUAUUAAAAACACAGCACUGUGCAAACACGAAAGUGGACGUAUACGGUGUGACGCCUGCCCGGUGCCGGAAGGUUAAUUGAUGGGGUCAGCGCAAGCGAAGCUCCUGAUCGAAGCCCCGGUAAACGGCGGCCGUAACUAUAACGGUCCUAAGGUAGCGAAAUUCCUUGUCGGGUAAGUUCCGACCUGCACGAAUGGCGUAAUGAUGGCCAGGCUGUCUCCACCCGAGACUCAGUGAAAUUGAACUCGCUGUGAAGAUGCAGUGUACCCGCGGCAAGACGGAAAGACCCCGUGAACCUUUACUAUAGCUUGACACUGAACAUUGAGCCUUGAUGUGUAGGAUAGGUGGGAGGCUUUGAAGUGUGGACGCCAGUCUGCAUGGAGCCGACCUUGAAAUACCACCCUUUAAUGUUUGAUGUUCUAACGUGGACCCGUAAUCCGGGUUGCGGACAGUGUCUGGUGGGUAGUUUGACUGGGGCGGUCUCCUCCUAAAGAGUAACGGAGGAGCACGAAGGUUGGCUAAUCCUGGUCGGACAUCAGGAGGUUAGUGCAAUGGCAUAAGCCAGCUUGACUGCGAGCGUGACGGCGCGAGCAGGUGCGAAAGCAGGUCAUAGUGAUCCGGUGGUUCUGAAUGGAAGGGCCAUCGCUCAACGGAUAAAAGGUACUCCGGGGAUAACAGGCUGAUACCGCCCAAGAGUUCAUAUCGACGGCGGUGUUUGGCACCUCGAUGUCGGCUCAUCACAUCCUGGGGCUGAAGUAGGUCCCAAGGGUAUGGCUGUUCGCCAUUUAAAGUGGUACGCGAGCUGGGUUUAGAACGUCGUGAGACAGUUCGGUCCCUAUCUGCCGUGGGCGCUGGAGAACUGAGGGGGCUGCUCCUAGUACGAGAGGACCGGAGUGGACGCAUCACUGGUGUUCGGGUUGUCAUGCCAAUGGCACUGCCCGGUAGCUAAAUGCGGAAGAGAUAAGUGCUGAAAGCAUCUAAGCACGAAACUUGCCCCGAGAUGAGUUCUCCCUGAGACUUAGAGUCUCCUGAAGGAACGUUGAAGACGACGACGUUGAUAGGCCGGGUGUGUAAGCGCAGCGAUGCGUUGAGCUAACCGGUACUAAUGAACCGUGAGGCUUAACCUUACAACGCCGAAG
rnacentral:rRNA from 1 species